rnacentral:rRNA from 1 species
GACGAACCGAGCGAACGUUGUUCGGAAUCACUGGGCUUAAAGGGCGCGUAGGCGGGUAUUCAAGUCUGUGGUGAAAUCCGGCAGCUUAACUGUCGAAUUGCCGCGGAUACUGGGUAUCUCGAGGGAGGUAGGGGCGUGCGGAACUAAUGGUGGAGCGGUGAAAUGCGUUGAUAUCAUUAGGAACCCCGGUGGCGAAGGCGGCACGCUGGACCUCUUCUGACGCUGAGGCGCGAAAGCCAGGGGAGCAAACGGG